UGGAAAGGCGUCUGUAGAAGUGCUAAGUUGUAACCUUAGUUAUGGUUGAUUACCCCUUUUCAC
rnacentral:tRNA from 1 species